rnacentral:rRNA from 1 species
AUUGAACGCUGGCGGCAUGCUUUACACAUGCAAGUCGAACGGUAACAGGCCGCAAGGUGCUGACGAGUGGCGAACGGGUGAGUAAUGCAUCGGAACGUGCCCAGUCGUGGGGGAUAACUACUCGAAAGAGUAGCUAAUACCGCAUACGAUCUAUGGAUGAAAGCGGGGGACCGUAAGGCCUCGCGCGAUUGGAGCGGCCGAUGUCAGAUUAGGUAGUUGGUGGGGUAAAGGCUCACCAAGCCAACGAUCUGAAGCUGGUCUGAGAGGACGACCAGCCACACUGGGACUGAGACACGGCCCAGACUCCUACGGGAGGCAGCAGUGGGGAAUUUUGGACAAUGGGCGCAAGCCUGAUCCAGCAAUGCCGCGUGCAGGAAGAAGGCCUUCGGGUUGUAAACUGCUUUUGUACGGAACGAAACGGCUCUGGUUAAUACCCGGGGCUAAUGACGGUACCGUAAGAAUAAGCACCGGCUAACUACGUG